UACAGAGGUCCCAAGCGUUGUUCGGAUUCACUGGGCGUAAAGGGUGCGUAGGCGGUCGGGUAAGUCUGAUGUGAAAUCUCACAGCUUAACUGUGAAACUGCAUUGGAUACUAUCCGGCUCGAGGAAUGGAGGGGAGACUGGAAUACUUGGUGUAGCAGUGAAAUGCGUAGAUAUCAAGAGGAACACCAGCGGCGAAGGCGGCGCUCUGGGCCGGUACUGACACUGAGGAGCGAAAGCGUGGGUAGCAAACAGG
rnacentral:rRNA from 1 species